UUCUGGGUGACUUACUUUUCCCCUCCGCAUCAUGGUUUUCCCAUCCGUAAAGUGGGUAUAAUAAUAGUACCUAACUCCAAGGGCCUCUUAUAAGUCAUGACAAAACACACGAUGGGCCAGGCCCAUAAAUGGAGCUGAGUAAGCAUUAGGGCCCUCUGACUUUUCCUUUUGUCCAGAAAGCUUUCUUUCUCACCAACCCUCUAACCAUGUCAACAAAUAAUUGGAGCACAUACUGUGUGCCAAGCCUGGGGGAUAAAGCAGUGAACAAGACUGGCAAGAUCCCUGCCCUCACGGAGCUGGUGUUCUGAGUGAAAGACAGGCAAUGAAUACUUUUAAAUAAGGUGGGCUGUGGAGAACAUAAAACAGGGGUAAGGAAUAGAAGACUGGGGGACGGCUUUACACAGGAGCGCAAGAAAGGCCACUCAGGUGACAUUUGAGCUAAAUACAGAACAGGAAGGAGGAGUCAUCCAUUAGAUAUGUCCAGAAAAAGCAUUUGCUGGAGGAAACAGAAAGUGCAAAGGCCCUUCGCAGGAGAAAGGAGCAGAGAGAGAUGAAAUCAGGGAAGCAGGGCUUUCUCAAAAGCCACAGAAAGGCACCUGGAUUUUAUUCUCAGUGUCCCACCUAGGAAGCCAAGGGAGAUGACAAGCAUAGAAGUUACAAUGGAGAUCUGAGAAGUGUUUUAAAAGGGGGAGAGAUGCCAGUGCAGAAAUCCAGCCAGCAAGCUCAGGCUCAGGGAGGUUAUGUAAUUUGUCCAAGGUCACACAGCAAAUGAAAAGCCAAACCAUAAGAGCCAGUGAUCUUAAGAGUGAUGACACUACCCUGCCCCUCUGGAAGAAUCGCAGAGAGAGAAGGAGAGAUGAAAACCCCAGGCUUUCCCGGUGGCACUUACUGUGCUAGGAGUUUGAAUCUGAAAAUAGGCCUCCAGUGCUCGCUUCGGCAGCACAUAUACUAAAAUUAAAAACAGGCCUCCAACUGGGAUCUCCGAGGAAAGGAGAGCCAACCACCAGCUUUGGGAAUUUUUGAGAGCUCCUACCCCAGAGUACCUUGGAAGCUCCCAGCGAAGGGGAGAGAGAAUAAAAAGGCAAAGCCAUGGUGAAAUCUCCUGCUUGGACAGGACACUUGGCUGGCAUUUCUCUUUUGCUUUAGGUUUUACCUCUUGACUACUACAAAGGAACAUGAAGAUUUAGCUUUUAUAUUGCCUUCCACAUUUUCCUGUGCCGCUUUUGUUUAUAUCAUCAAUCUGCAUUUACAAUAGUCCAACUGUGAAACAAAUUAUCCAAGCUGAAUCAGGAGUGUGCUAUGAUUAUAAUUUGUUUGCUAGAUGUUCUGCUUUUCCUGGGGUAAGUGUGGCUUGGGUUUUUAUUUACUUAAUUGUCUAUGCAUCUGUCACUAAUUCAUUCCCCAUAAUCUUUCCUUGAAGUGAAAAACAAUCUGAAGAUUUGGUCUCCCAUUCCAGGUGAGAAUACUUUCAAAAAGGCUUACAGACUUCUAUAACAAAUACGUAGUUUCUUCAACAAAUUAACAGCUUGAAAAAACCAGGGGGAAGGGAAAAUGUUAUAAAAGACUUGAGUCUUUGCAGUCAAAUGCCAUGUGCGAGGUCCUCGUUGGGAUCCUCAUCCAGACAAAGCAAAGACACAAAGGUGUUGGAAGAUAAUUGGGUAAUUUGAACAUUGAUUGGGCCUUAGCAUGGACUAAACAAUAAACCUGUUUGGACUCGGUGAAUAAUGGUAUUAUGGGUUAUGUUUGACCAUUUCUUCAUCUGUUAGAGCUACUUACUAAAAUGUUUUUGUGUGAGACGGUAUCGUGUCUAACAUUUACCGUUGAAACACUCCAGGAAAAAAAAAUGCGUUUGGAAGAUACAUGAAAGGUUGACAAAACAUUGAUUAUUAUUCAUUAUCAGUGAAGGGAGAUGGGUAUGUCCUUAUACUAUCCUCUCCACUCUUGUGUCUGGUUGAAAUUUUUCAUAGUAAAAAGUUUAAAACAAAAAAGAAAUUCACAAAGAAAUGGAAGAAAGGAAAAGACUGCACAGGGCUGCCUGUACAAUUGGUGAACUGGUUGUAGAAAUAAAACCUUUUACAUAUUGAGUACUAGCCCGUUUUGUGUCUAGUAUGCAUUUUGGGUUUAGUACACGGAUAUAGAACUCGGGUUUCUGAAGCCCGCUGACCUUCCCAGGCUCCUCCAGAGCCCGGGA